GAUGAACGCUGGCGGCGUGCUUAACACAUGCAAGUCGAACGAUGAAGCCCAGCUUGCUGGGUGGAUUAGUGGCGAACGGGUGAGUAACACGUGAGUAACCUGCCCUUGACUCUGGGAUAAGCCUGGGAAACUGGGUCUAAUACUGGAUAUGACUUCUCAUCGCAUGGUGGGGGGUGGAAAGAUUUAUUGGUCUUGGAUGGACUCGCGGUCUAUCAGCUUGUUGGUGAGGUAAUGGCUCACCAAGGCGACGACGGGUAGCCGGCCUGAGAGGGUGACCGGCCACACUGGGACUGAGACACGGCCCAGACUCCUACGGGAGGCUGCAGUGGGGAAUAUUGCACAAUGGGCGCAAGCCUGAUGCAGCGACGCCGCGUGAGGGAUGACGGCCUUCGGGUUGUAAACCUCUUUCAGUAGGGAAGAAGCGAGAGUGACGGUACCUGCAGAAGAAGCGCCGGCUAACUACGUG
rnacentral:rRNA from 1 species